rnacentral:rRNA from 1 species
UACGAACUGUGCGAGCGUUAUUCGGAAUCACUGGGCUUACAGGGUGCGUAGGCGGCUUAGCAAGUCAGGCGUGAAAGCCCCCGGCUCAACCGGGGAACUGCGCUUGAAACUGCUGAGCUCGAGUCAGCUAGAGGUACACGGAACUUCCAGUGGAGCGGUGAAAUGUGUUGAUAUUGGAAGGAACACCGGAGGCGAAAGCGGUGUACUGGGGCUGGUCUGACGCUGAGGCACGAAAGCCAGGGGAGCGAACGGG